rnacentral:rRNA from 1 species
AAUGAACGCUGGCGGCAUGCCUAACACAUGCAAGUCGAACGAGACCUUCGGGUCUAGUGGCGCACGGGUGCGUAACGCGUGGGAAUCUGCCCUUGGGUUCGGAAUAACAGCUAGAAAUGGCUGCUAAUACCGGAUGAUGACGUAAGUCCAAAGAUUUAUCGCCCAGGGAUGAGCCCGCGUAGGAUUGGCUAGUUGGUGAG